AUGGUUGUCAACCCCUCCUCUAUGGAGAGCAUUACCCCCUCCACUCAAGUACACUUUGAUGCUACAAACGCAACUAACUCAUUAAUCGACUACCCUCUCUCACUCCUUCUAUUGAAGCAGCCGCCACCAGAACCACCGGACUAUUUUCACAUCUUCAAAAUUGUCAACCAUCUAUUCAUCUCCAAAAUUCCUCUUGCUCAAAGUUGUCAACCAUACAUCCAUCUCCAAAGUUCCUCUUGCUGA